UACGAAGGGGGCUAGCGUUGCUCGGAAUCACUGGGCGUAAAGCGCACGUAGGCGGAUCUUUAAGUCAGGGGUGAAAUCCUGGAGCUCAACUCCAGAACUGCCUUUGAUACUGAGGAUCUUGAGUCCGGGAGAGGUGAGUGGAACUCCGAGUGUAGAGGUGAAAUUCGUAGAUAUUCGGAAGAACACCAGUGGCGAAGGCGGCUCACUGGCCCGGUACUGACGCUGAGGAGCGAAAGCGUGGGGAGCGAACAGG
rnacentral:rRNA from 1 species